rnacentral:tRNA from 1 species
CGGGGUGUAGCGCAGUUGGUAGCGCGCCUGCUUUGGGAGCAGGAUGUCAGAAGUUCGAAUCUUCUCACCCCGACCA